GUGCAUGGGGAUGUAAAACCUGAAAACUUUCUUCUUGGAACCCCUGGAACUCCUGAUGAAAAAAAAUUGUUUCUUGUUGACCUUGGAUUGGCAACAAGGUGGCGUGAUGCCUCUACCGGCUUACAUGUUGAGUAUGAUCAGCGGCCUGAUGUCUUUAGGGGAACUGUAAGGUAUGCUAGUGUGCAUGCUCACCUGGGAAGGACUGGAAGCCGACGGGAUGAUUUAGAGUCACUGGCUUACACACUCAUCUUUCUUCUCCGAGGCCGGCUGCCUUGGCAGGGAUAUCAGGGAGAGAACAAAGGUUUCCUUGUCUGUAAGAAGAAGAUGGCAUCUUCUCCAGAAACUCUUUGCUGCUUCUGCCCUGCUCCGUUUAAGCAUUUUGUGGAAUAUGUUGUGAACUUGAAGUUCGACGAGGAGCCUAACUAUGCUAGGUAUAUCUCCUUAUUUGAUGGAGUAGUAGGUCCAAAUCCAGAAAUCAGGCCAAUCAACACUGACGGUGCACAGAAGCUUAUAUACCAAGUUGGGCAGAAAAGAGGAAGAUUGACAAUGGAAGAAGAAGAUGAUGAACAGCCGAAGAAGAAGGUUCGCAUGGGAAUGCCUGCGACACAAUGGAUCAGUGUUUACAAUGCUCGUCGUCCAAUGAAGCAGAGAUAUCACUAUAA
rnacentral:misc_RNA from 1 species